rnacentral:rRNA from 1 species
UACGAAGGGGGCUAGCGUUGUUCGGAAUUACUGGGCGUAAAGGGCGCGUAGGCGGCUUGGCAAGUUGGGUGUGAAAGCCCAGGGCUCAACCCUGGAAUUGCACUCAAGACUGCCUUGCUUGAAUUCGGUAGAGGUUGGUGGAAUUCCCAGUGUAGAGGUGAAAUGCGUAGAUAUUGGGAAGAACACCGGUGGCGAAGGCGGCUCACUGGCCCGUUACUGACGCUCAGGCGCGACAGCGUGGGGAUCAAACAGG